UACGUAGGGUGCAAGCGUUAAUCGGAAUUACUGGGCGUAAAGCGUGCGCAGGCGGUUUUGUAAGCCAGAUGUGAAAUCCCCGGGCUUAACCUGGGAAUGGCAUUUGGGGACUGCAAGGCUCGAGUGCGGCAGAGGAGACUGGAAUUCCUGGUGUAGCAGUGAAAUGCGUAGAUAGUCAGGAGGAACACCGAUGGCGAAGGCAGGUCUCUGGGCUGACACUGACGCUCAUGCACGAAAGCGUGGGGAGCAAACAGG
rnacentral:rRNA from 1 species